rnacentral:rRNA from 1 species
UCUUGCGCAAUGGGCGAAAGCCUGACGCAGCGACGCCGCGUGAGUGAAGAAGGCCUUCGGGUUGUAAAACUCAGUCCUCAGGGAAGAAGCAAGUGACGGGACCUGAGGAGGAAGCCCCGGCUAACUACGUUCCAGCAGCCGCGGUAAUACGUAGGGUGCGAGCGUGGUCCGGAAUCAUUGGGCUUAAAGGGUGCGUAGGCGGACUUUUAAGUCAGGUGAGAAAGACCACAGCUUAACUGUGGCGUUGCAUUUGAAACUGGAGGGCUUGAGUAGCAGAGAGGGUAGUGGAAUUCCCGGUGUAGCGGUGAAAUGCAUAGAUAUCGGGAGGAACACCAGUGGCGAAGGCGACUACCUGGACGAAAACUGACGCUGAGGCACGAAAGCUAGGAUAGAAAAC